rnacentral:lncRNA from 1 species
UUGAAAUCUAAAGGUGUAAUGCAAGAAUAUGCAAGACCACAGGGACUGGAGACACAAAGAGCAUCUGAAGAGAGCUUGAAUGACUCCCAACAGUUCCAGUCUCAAAGUUACCAUGUGCAGCACAGUCAGGGCAGCAUGUGAGAAGAACAACAAGAAAGCUGGGGUCUGCCAGAGAAGACGGAAGCCCUCACAUUAAACUGAGUCAGCUGGCAUCUUGAUCUUGGACUUUCAAAU